GCAACUAAUACCGUAUACGCCCUACGGGGGAAAGAUUUAUUGCUAUUAGAUGAGCCUAUAUUAGAUUAGCUAGUUGGUAAGGUAAUGGCUUACCAAGGCAAUGAUCUAUAGCUGAUCUGAGAGGAUGAUCAGCCACACUGGAACUGAGAUACGGUCCAGACUCCUACGGGAGGCAGCAGUGGGGAAUAUUGGACUAUGUGUUAUAGCCUGAUCCAGCCAUGCCGCAUGAGUGAAGAAGGCCUUUGGGUUGUAAAGCUCUUUCGGUGAGGAAGAUAAUGACGGUACUCACAGAAGAAGUCCUGGCUAACUCCGUGCCAGCAGCCGCGGUAAUACGGAGAGGGCUAGCGUUAUUCGGAAUUAUUGGGCGUAAAGAGCGCGUAGGCUGGUUAGUAAGUUAAAAGUGAAAUCCCAAAGCUCAACUUUGGAAUUGAUUUUAAAACUGCUAACCUAGAGAUUGAAAGAGGAUAGAGGAAUUCCUAGUGUAGAGGUGAAAUUCGUAAAUAUUAGGAGGAACACCAGUGGCGAAGGCGUCUAUCUGGUUCAAAUCUGACGGUGAGGCGGGAAGGCGUGGGGACCAAACAGGAUUAGAUACCCUGGUAGUCCACGCUGUAAACGAUGAAUGUUAAAUAUGGGAAGUUUACUUUCUGUAUUACAGCUAACGCGUUAAACAAAACGCCUGGGGACUACGGUCGCAAGAUUAAA
rnacentral:rRNA from 1 species